rnacentral:rRNA from 1 species
AGGGGGAUAACUACUGGAAACGGUAGCUAAUACCGCAUAACGUCGCAAGACCAAAGAGGGGGACCUUCGGGCCUCUUGCCAUCAGAUGUGCCCAGAUGGGAUUAGCUUGUUGGUGGGGUAACGGCUCACCAAGGCGACGAUCCCUAGCUGGUCUGAGAGGAUGACCAGCCACACUGGAACUGAGACACGGUCCAGACUCCUACGGGAGGCAGCAGUGGGGAAUAUUGCACAAUGGGCGCAAGCCUGAUGCAGCCAUGCCGCGUGUAUGAAGAAGGCCUUCGGGUUGUAAAGUA